rnacentral:rRNA from 1 species
AUUGAACGCUGGCGGCAUGCUUUACACAUGCAAGUCGGACGGAGUGGCGAACGGGUGAGUAAUAUAUUGGAACGUACCGAGUAAUGGGGGAUAACGUUCGGAAACGGACGCUAAUACCGCAUACUAUCAGAUGAGCCUAGGUCGGAUUAGCUCGUUGGUGAGGUAAUGGCUCACCAAGGCUACGAUCCGUAACUGGUCUGAGAGGAUGAUCAGUCACACUGGAACUGAGACACGGUCCAGACGCCUACGGGAGGCAGCAGUGGGGAAUAUUGGACAAUGGGCGAAAGCCUGAUCCAGCCAUGCCGCGUGUGUGAAGAAGGUCUUCGGAUUGUAAAGCACUUUCAGCGGGGAGGCGUUACCCGCAGAAGAAGCACCGGCUAACUCCGUGCCAGCAGCCGCGGUAAUUC